rnacentral:piRNA from 1 species
UAACAAAUGGUUCCCAACAUGGCAAGC